rnacentral:rRNA from 1 species
UACGUAGGGUCCAAGCGUUGUUCGGAUUUACUGGGCGUAAAGGGCGCGUAGGCGGCCUGGCAAGUGGAAGGUGAAAUCCCUCGGCUUAACCGAGGAACUGCCCUCCAAACUGCUUGGCUUGAGUCCGGGAGAGGUGAGUGGAAUUCCCAGUGUAGCGGUGAAAUGCGUAGAUAUUGGGAGGAACACCAGUGGCGAAGGCGGCUCACUGGACCGGUACUGACGCUGAGGCGCGAAAGCGUGGGGAGCAAACGGG